rnacentral:rRNA from 1 species
UACAGAGGGUGCAAGCGUUAAUCGGAAUUACUGGGCGUAAAGCGCGUGUAGGCAGCUCGGAAAGUCGGGUGUGAAAUCCCUGGGCUCAACCUAGGAACUGCAUUCGAAACUGUCUUUCUGGAGUGAUGGAGAGGAAAGCGGAAUUCCCGGUGUAGAGGUGAAAUUCGUAGAUAUCGGGAGGAACACCAGUGGCGAAGGCGGCUUUCUGGCCAUCAACUGACGCUGAGACGCGAAAGCGUGGGGAGCAAACAGG